rnacentral:rRNA from 1 species
UAAAACCAGCUCUUGGAGUGGUGAUCAUGAUUAUUUGGCUUAAAGGGUGCGUAGCAGGACAGCGUGAGUCCCCUGUGAAAUGCCGAGUCUUAAGCUCGGAACGUGCCGGGGAUACUGCGCGUCUUGGGACCGGGAUAGGUGUAAUGUACGCGAUGGGUAGGGGUGAAAUCCGAUAAUCCAUCGCGGACAACCGGUGGCGAAGGCGUUACACUGGAACGGGUCCGACUGUGAGGCACGAAAGCUAGGGUCGCGAGCCGGAUUAGAUACCCGGGUAGUCCUAGCUGUAAACGAUGCUCAUUAAGUGUUAGGUAAUGCAAGACAUUCUCUAGUGCCGAAGCGAAAGCGUUAAAUGAGCCGCCUGGGAAGUACGUUCGCAAGAAUG